CGCAGAAACCAGGCCGCUGCAACUGUUUAUUAAAAACAUAGCACUCUGCAAACACGAAAGUGGACGUAUAGGGUGUGAUGCCUGCCCGGUGCUGGAAGGUUAAUUGAUGGGGUUAGCGUAAGCGAAGCUCUUGAUCGAAGCCCCAGUAAACGGCGGCCGUAACUAUAACGGUCCUAAGGUAGCGAAAUUCCUUGUCGGGUAAGUUCCGACCUGCACGAAUGGCAUAAUGAUGGCGGCGCUGUCUCCAGCAGAGGCUCAGUGAAAUCGAAAUCGCUGUGAAGAUGCAGUGUACCCGCGGCUAGACGGAAAGACCCCGUGAACCUUUACUGCAGCUUGACACUGAACUUUGACCUUACUUGUGUAGGAUAGGUGGGAGGCUUUGAAGCUGGAACGCUAGUUCCAGUGGAGCCGUCCUUGAAAUACCACCCUGGUAAUGUUGAGGUUCUAACUCUGUCCCGUGAUCCGGGACGAGGACCGUGUCUGGUGGGUAGUUUGACUGGGGCGGUCUCCUCCUAAAGAGUAACGGAGGAGUACGAAGGUGCGCUCAGCGUGGUCGGAAAUCACGCGUAGAGUAUAAAGGCAAAAGCGCGCUUAACUGCGAGACCCACAAGUCGAGCAGGUACGAAAGUAGGUCUUAGUGAUCCGGUGGUUCUGUAUGGAAGGGCCAUCGCUCAACGGAUAAAAGGUACUCUGGGGAUAACAGGCUGAUACCGCCCAAGAGUUCAUAUCGACGGCGGUGUUUGGCACCUCGAUGUCGGCUCAUCUCAUCCUGGGGCUGAAGCAGGUCCCAAGGGUAUGGCUGUUCGCCAUUUAAAGAGGUACGCGAGCUGGGUUUAGAACGUCGUGAGACAGUUCGGUCCCUAUCUACCGUGGGCGCUGGAAAUUUGAGAGGAUCUGCUCCUAGUACGAGAGGACCAGAGUGGACGAACCUCUGGUGUACCGGUUGUGACGCCAGUCGCAUCGCCGGGUAGCUAUGUUCGGAAGGGAUAACCGCUGAAAGCAUCUAAGCGGGAAGCCUACCUCAAGAUAAGAUUUCCCUAGGACUUUAUGUCCUCUAAAGAGCCGUUCGAGACUAGGACGUUGAUAGGUUGGAUGUGGAAGCAUAGUGAUAUGUGAAGCUGACCAAUACUAAUUGCUCGUGAGGCUUGACUAU
rnacentral:rRNA from 1 species